rnacentral:misc_RNA from 1 species
GAUGAAGAACGUAGCGAAAUGCGAUAAGUAAUGUGAAUUGCAGAUUUCAGUGAAUCAUCGAAUCUUUGAACGCACCUUGCGCCUUGUGGUAUUCCACAAGGCAUGCCCGUUUGAGUAUCAUUAAAUCAUCAACUCUAAAACCUUUGUGGUUUUUUUUAGAGCUUGGUCUUGAGGUUUUUGCAGGCUUUUUUUUUUUUCGAGUCUGCUCCCUUUAAAUGCAUUAGCGAGACUUCCCUAUGCUGAACCGUCUCUUUGACGUGAUAAUUAUCUGCGUCGAAUUUUGGUUCUCGUUGGGCUUGCUUCUAAUCGUCUGUUAAAGACAAAACGGAUUUGGGUGCAUAUAUGCGCCUUUUUCCAAAACCUUUUUUUGAUCUCAAAUCGGGUAGGACUACCCGCUGAACUUAAGCAUAUCAAUAAGCGGAGGA